rnacentral:rRNA from 1 species
UACGAAGGGGGCUAGCGUUGCUCGGAAUCACUGGGCGUAAAGGGCGCGUAGGCGGUUUCGUAAGUCCUGUGUGAAAUCCCCCGGCUCAACUGGGGAACUGCACAGGAAACUGCGAGGCUUGAGUUCGGGAGAGGGAAGCGGAAUUCCGGGUGUAGCGGUGAAAUGCGCAGAUAUCGGGAGGAACGACCGGUGGCGAAGGCGGUUCGCUGG